UACGUAGGGGGGCUAGCGUUGUCCGGAUUUAUUGGGCGUAAAGCGCGUGUAGGCGGCCGGCUAGGUCUGGUGUGAAAAACUCGAGGCUCAACCUCGAGAUGUCGCCGGAAACCAGUCGGCUAGAGUCCGGAAGAGGAGAGUGGAAUUCCUGGUGUAGCGGUGAAAUGCGCAGAUAUCAGGAGGAACACCGGUGGCGAAGGCGGGGUCUCUGGGCCGAUACUGACGCUGAGGAGCGAAAAGCGUGGGGGAGCGAACAGG
rnacentral:rRNA from 1 species